rnacentral:rRNA from 1 species
UUUAAUGGCCGCAGUAUUUUGACUGUGCAAAGGUAGCAUAAUCAUUAGUUUUUUAAUUAAAAACUGGAAUGAAAGGUUGAACGAAAAAAUAAUUGUCUCUUUAUAAUUUUUUUAGAAUUUUAUUUUUAAGUUAAAAAGCUUAAAUAUAUUUAAAAGACGAGAAGACCCUAUAGAGUUUUAUAUUUUAAAAAUUAUUAUUUUAAUUGAAUUUUUAAAAUGUAAUUUUAAAGAAUAUUUAAUUGGGGUGAUUGAAAAAUUUAAAAAACUUUUUUUUUAUACAACUUUUAUAAAUGAAUAAUUGAUCCAUUUUUAUGAUUAAAAGAUUAAAUUACCUUAGGGAUAACAGCGUUAUUUCUUUUUAGAGUUCUUAUCAAUAAAGAAGUUUGCGACCUCGAUGUUGGAUUAAAAUAAAUUUAUGGUGUAGAAGCUAUAAUAUUAGGUCUGUUCGACCUUUAAAAUUUUACAUGAUCUGAGUUUAAACCGGUGUGAGCCAGGUUGGUUUCUAUCUUUAAAAUAAUUUAAUAUUUUAGUACGAAAGGACCAAAUAUUAGUAAUAUUUAUUAAAUUUUGAUUAAUAUU